UACGGAGGGAGCUAGCGUUGUUCGGAUAUACUGGGCGUAAAGCGCACGUAGGCGGCGCAGCAAGUCAGGGGUGAAAUCCCGGGGCUCAACCCCGUGACUGCAUUCGAUACUGUCAGGCUAGAGGUAGGUAGGGGAGAUCGGAAUUCCUGGUGUAGCGGUGAAAUGCGCAGAUAUCAGGAGGAACACCGGUGGCGAAGGCGGGUCUCUGGGCCGUAACUGACGCUGAGGAGCGAAAGCGUGGGGAGCGAACAGG
rnacentral:rRNA from 1 species